CUCUCUAUCGGCAGCCUCCCGGCCGCGCCCGCAGCCACGGCAGGCAGCCAUUUUACUGCGGGCGCGACCUGCCUCCGUGCGCGCAGCGCGAAACCAAACGCGGUGCGCCCGAGUUCAGGCCUGACAACUGCUUUAGAAACAGAAAGUAACGACGAAGCUUUAUUGAAGCUGUUCCCGCGGGCUGCUUUAGAUAGGACAGAAAGCAGGGAAGCUCCCGGACCGUGGCUCCAGGCUCGUCCCUGGCCCCACGCACUGAAGCUCUUUCCGCGUGUUUAUUUCGCCAGCAAGGGGCCAAGAAGCGGCGCAGCUCUCAGUCCACGGCGCCGCGCCUGCCCCCCAUGCGCUGCACCGACCCCAUGCCACCGCACCGACGGACGCGAUGGGAAGCGCCCAGCAGCCGUUAACCGACAGCCCCCAACCGUGCCCCACCGCUUCCCCACCACCGGCGGCCGUAGCCAAUCAGCGGCAGAGGCUGCCGCCUCCUCCCCCGUGCGCCCGCCCCCUGCCCGUUUCACCGAGGAGCUGUUGAGGCCGCGCUCUGCGCUCUAGCCGCCGCCGCUCCGCUAUGUGGGUGCUGGCCGUGGGCGUGCUGCUCAGCGCUGCGGGCACAGGUUCUGCCCAGUUGAUCCUUACUGCGACAGAUGUGGAAAUAACUGACUGUAACAAAACUGUUGUUUUACCUUGCUAUGUAACUAACCUCUUGGAGAAAAAUGAAAAGGCCAUGUUUGUUAUGUGGAGAAGACAAGGACAAGUAAUUUUUAGUUUCGAUGGAGCAAGCCAAGAGGUUUUCAGAGAUCCAUCAGCUCCAUCUGCGAACUUGGUCUCGCAGGCGGAUUUACCUAAGGGCAUUGCCUCCCUCGUGCUUAACAGUGCAGAAGCAGAAGCUGGAAAUUACACUUGUCAAGUAACAGAGUCAAGCAGAGAAGGACAAGUAAAAGUGGAACUUAGAAACCAUUCAGUUGUCAGUUGCGACGAGGAAAGUGUCCCACCAUCAAAGGAGAUCUGUGUUGUCAGUUGCGACGAGGAAAGUGUCCCACCAUCAAAGGAGAUCUGUGGGUCAUGGUUUCUUCUAGUGGAAAGGGCUAUCAUCAUAGUGUUGCUGUUCUUAGUCAUUGUUUUGUGUUCGGCUCAGUUAAGUGUUGUUGCAUUUAAAUGUGAAAUUACACCUCAGAAGAGAGUGAGCAUUGCUGUAGCAGGUUUCAUCUUCACAGUUGCUGCUGUUAUAGGCACUGUUCUUUUUGUCCAAGAUGGCUUCACUGCACAGAAUCAGGCUGGGCUUGGCCUCAUUGUAAUCCCUGCUGUGAGCAUGGUACCACUCCAGUACUUUAUUUUUAGAAUUGUUUUUGAUAGUCUACCACAAGCAACGUUUGCUCUGAUAGGUUUGCACAUUCUCGGUUAUGUAAUUGCUGUGGUUGGUUUUGCACUGUGUGUCUCAGCCUGUCCUCCUUCACAUGGCUCUAUUUUGAUUGCUGGCUUAGCUAUUAUGGCUAUCACAAAUUUGCUGAGCCUGGCUUACGUGUUUAUUAUGGGUUCCAGAAUGAAAGAUCAUCCUCGUCCAGGGAAUCACUACUUACUGUAUAUGUCAAUUAGAGUAAUUUAACUGUGGCGAGCCAAAAGUAAACAUGAAGGCUUUUUAUACAUAUAUAUAUAUUUUUAAAUGUUUUGCAGAAAGCUGUAGAAGAACCACUAAAUGGUAGGUGAUAUUCAAGGCUUAUCUUCUAAUUAAGGCAUUAAUUAUACAGACAAGGUUAACAAAAAUAAUUGUAGCUCUCAAUAAAACAGCAGUGAGAUGCUGACUGACCCAGCUCAGAUGAUAUUGUGCCUGCAGCUCCAGACUCUCUGCUCUGUGCUUGCUAACCCAUGGCAUUAUUUGAAGGUUGGACUUGGUGAUCUUAGAGGUCCUUUCCAACCUUAAUGAUGCUGUGACUAUCUUAGGACAAGUCGAAUCUCAGGAUAUUCUGUCCACUCUCUCUGUUUUGCCCUAAACGCAGCUUUUGAAUGUUGAACUUGAUGAUCUUAAAGGUCCUUUCCAACCAUAAUGAUUCUAUGACUGUCUUAGGAUAUUCUGACUUCCCUCUCUGCCUUGCAAAAAGUCCAAAUUUAAGAGGAAAAGGGGGUCAAGGCUUGAAAGUUGAUGUUAGUGCUUCUUCAUAAGCAUUUAUCUAGAUGGGAUAUUUAAGCUAAAAGCAAAACCUCUCCUUGUCACUCUAUGCAAUCAGUAUUUGGGGUUGGGAAAGCACAACCACACUGGGUUGAAUUGGAAUUGGAAACUCAAGCAAUGCUGGGAAACUCUUGAGAGUGCUUAUGAUGGAGGGAAAUCUAAAGUGACAAAAGGAUGACUGAAUCUUAUUUUGUUUAUAUAUCCUAUAUAUAUACUGCUGUUCUAUCAACUAAUUGGUGUGCAGACUACUAGCAAUUUCUAACCCAACUUUUAGAAUGAAUCUGAAUAUUAAUUAUGAAGCAUUUCUGGCUGUUUUCCUCAUUACUAAUCCAUUUGCUUGGCUUUUAAAGAUGCAAAAGGAGUGAUGUUAGAAUGAUGAUCUGAGGAGCUAUGUGAUGCGUGAAAAGUACACCGAUGUUGGUACACCGUGGCCUUGAAGAUGCACUGCUCAACAAGAAGAAAUUCAGGAAAAAUAGUUGUUUUGCAUGUGUGGCAAAAGUGCUUUUGAUAUAAAUGAUGUAAUUUUCUAGUCACAGCAGCUGUAGCGAGGAACAUGUGUGUUUGCCCACAUGUGAUCUUCAUUUUCUUUUUGGUUUGGCAUCUCUGCGGGAUGGUUGAGGGGUGAGAAGAUGAAAAGCACCGUUUGCCCACACCGGGGUCUCCCUGCAGUAAUCCUUAGUGGUAUUAUUUAAACAAGAAACCCUGUCAUUAGUCACUGCUUUGCUGAUGGACCUGCUCAGCCCAGAGAUUGCAGUACCAUUUAGAUGAUUGUUUUCUUUAUCUGUGUGCAUGGGCAAGUUCUGGUCAUACGUCUGUGAUGCAAGCGGGGAGUAGAGAUUGUACCAACAAAACCCAAAAGCAAACCGAGCAACCCAACUGUCAUUUCUGACACUCAGCAAGACUUCUCUGAAAAGCAGACAGAAAAAUGCUUAUCCACACAGUUGUACAAGUGCAAAGUUUACUCCCAGCUCUCCUUGAAGUUAACAGAGUUCUCCUCAUUCCACCGAAAGCAGAAUUCCUCUCUCCAGACAGGCGUCAUGCCUGCUCCGGUGGCUUCUAGUCCAGCAGGAGAGCUCUCUAUGCUUCUUCCUUCCAUGGUUCUUUGAUGGGAAACCACUCAGCUGUCGGAGCCUGGUUCAGCACUGGAAUUGUGGAGCACAGCAGCUAGUCCUUUUCCUGCUGAAUGUGGUUCUUUGUGUGUGUGUGUGUGUGUGUUCAUGUUGUGCAGUGUGUGGUACCAGAAGCAAUUUCAGGCUUUCUUAACUCAGUGAAUUUGUAAGUCAUGGAUGCUUCGUAACAACCAGGAGUUGUCCUACUUAGUGUACUUUGGGGGGACAGUUUUUAAACUGCUGUUUUCUUGAAUGGGGGAGGGGAGGGGGAGGGGGGAGAAAGAAAUAAAAUAAAAAAGCUGUUUCAUUUCUGACCCAAGUUUGUGAUGCUGCCAUUCCACCACAGAUAGGCAAAGCAAGUAGCAGGAGCUGCUGAGAAGCGAGGAGGCUCAGCUUCUGUGUCUGUGUUUGCAGUAGAGUUACAAAUCAGUUUGCUAGCAAGUCACACAUUCCAUGGGAGCUUAGGAUGUUUUACAGCUGGUCAGAGACUUGUUCCAACACUGUUGGCUUCUCUCAAACUUCAUCUAGGCUUUGAAGAACUCUCAACACUCUUCUUCUCCUCGUGCUAAGGUAAUAUAUUUUGAAGGCACAGGUGGGUGUUCUCCUUCUAACAGUUGCAAAGCUCUACGUUUGGAACGCUGUCGCCAAGCAGCAGUGGGAUAAAAUCCACGUGUUUCGAAGAGUGAUUUUUGGCACAGCUGAGGAGCUGAAUCUUGUAAAACUCAAGGUUUGUGUUCGUGUGGGUGCACGCUGCAGAGAUUCUCUGCCUAUUGAGCUUCAGGUCUCGCUGCAAGACCCCAUGCAACAAGAAUUCAGCAAAAUAAAAGUAAUGGAUUAAAACCCACCUUUUUUUUCCCAAGAUUCUGAGUAAUUUGGCACAGCUCAAGUGUUGGAUGUUUAAAUAUAUGAGGUUCUGGUGCAUGUUACAGAUCUCUGCCUCUUGAGCUCCAGGCCUCACUGCAGACACCAAGAAUUCAGCAAAAUGAACAUGGGAGUCUCUGCAAUAUUUGCUCUCAUCAUCAGUUCUCUUGCUAGGGCUGCAGCGUUGAAACACUUGAAGCAACCUGUGGGUCCAGCCCUCACUGACAUCAGUGGAAGUGGCCACAGCGAAGAGGGUUCUUCAGGUGAUAAAACACUGAAGCAGCACCUACGUGUUACACCUAUUGUCACAGCUCAAGGUUUGCCAAGUGGGAGCAUUUGUGUUUAAGCUCCUUUGUGUGAGUCUUUUGAGACAGGUUCUCCUAAAGAUGGGAGGUGAACAACUCAGUGUAAGAACUGACCUGAUGGAAGCCCCACGCAGAGCUCCCUAAUUUUGAUUCCCUCUGGCAAAUUGAAGGUCGAGCAGUUAAGGAAUAAAAACUCAAACCACCUGGAAUUCUGUUGAGGUCUUCUGCCUUACAAAAAACCAUGAUGUAGAAUAGUUUUGUGUUCGCUUCUGUAAAGCAAGCCACAGUAGAACCUGUUUGUGUCACCUUGGGAUGAGGCUGAGCUGUUCCUAGGCACUACUGAAACCUCCUGAGCAGCUCGGUGGCCAUGGCCAGGCUGCCCCAGAGCUAGAACACCACUCUGCUGUUGAGUUCUGCCUUGGAUUUCUGGUGGCUACGAACUUUUGGGUUCUGCCUUGGAUUUCUGGUGGGUACAAACUUAAAAAGGUGUUCAAAAAGUCAUUGCUAGGCCCAGCCCUUUCCUGCCAGUAAUUUAAAACCAAAGUUGUUCGAUAGCUGUAAGCUUCCAUCCAUGUUGCUAUCUCUGUGUAUAUAUCAGUAUAUAGCCAUUUGGAAUAUCUAGAGAGAGCUAUAGUCUUUACUCCAGAAAAUGUUUUUAUUUAUGAACCACUUUUGUAAAUAUUGUGCUAAUAUACUGGGAAAAAAUAAAGUCAUUUUAAGUUGUU